rnacentral:rRNA from 1 species
AACGAACGCUGGCGGCAUGCCUAACACAUGCAAGUCGAACGAGGCCUUCGGGUCUAGUGGCGCACGGGUGCGUAACGCGUGGGAACCUGCCCCUAGGUUCGGAAUAACUCCCCGAAAGGGGUGCUAAUACCGGAUAAUGUCUUCGGACCAAAGAUUUAUCGCCUUUGGAUGGGCCCGCGUUGGAUUAGCUAGUUGGUAGGGUAAAAGCCUACCAAGGCGACGAUCCAUAGCUGGUCUGAGAGGAUGAUCAGCCACACUGGGACUGAGACACGGCCCAGACUCCUACGGGAGGCAGCAGUGGGGAAUAUUGGACAAUGGGCGAAAGCCUGAUCCAGCAAUGCCGCGUGAGUGAUGAAGGCCUUAGGGUUGUAAAGCUCUUUUACCCGGGAUGAUAAUGGCAGUACCGGGAGAAUAAGCUCCGGCUAACUCCGUG